rnacentral:rRNA from 1 species
AGGGCACCACCAGGAGUGGAGCCUGCGGCUUAAUUUGACUCAACACGGGAAAACUCACCCGGCCCGGACACCGUAAGGAUUGACAGACUGAGAGCUCUUUCUUAAUUCGGUGGGUGGUGGUGCAUGGCCGUUCUUAGUUGGUGGAGCGAUUUGUCUGGUUAAUUCCGAUAACGAACGAGACUCUGGCCUAUUAAAUAGUCGGUAUAUCCAGAAAAGUUUACCGUACUUCUUAGAGGGACAAACGGCGUCUAGCCGCGUGAAAUAGAGCAAUAACAGGUCUGUGAUGCCCUUAGAUGUCCGGGGCUGCGCGCGCGCUACACUGAAAGAAUCAGUAUGCGCUUUAACCUAGUCCGGAAGGAUUGGGUAACCCGAGCAAAUUCUUUCGUGCUUGGGAUAGGGAAUUGCAAUUAUUUCCCUUAAACGAGGAAUUCCCAGUAAAUGCGGGUCAUAAGCUCGCGUUGAUUACGUCCCUGCCCUUUGUACACACCGCCCGUCGCUACUACCGAUUGGAUGACUUAG